GAAUUAAUGGAAGCUGUCAACAGCCCGCCCCCGACCUCACUGGAUAUAACUGUGUCCUCGGCAGACCUUCAGUUUGUCAGAACCAGUUGGGAUGCAACAGGAUUUUCAGUUUUGCUGCCUUCCAUGCAUGAAUGGCUGUUGGAAUGACCAAGAUGAUUUUUCCACCCAUUCUUGGGACCUGGACUAUGAUGGCCACAGCAGCUAAAGAUGCCAGGUUCUGCAUACUAUGAAACUACUACAUCAGCAGGUCCAAAGGACUCCACUGACUCAACUGAUCUGAGGGACCCCAUGAGAAGCCUACUCAUCAAAGAAUGCAGUUUCUAAAUCCUGAUGAGUUCACCCCCCUUGCCCUGACCAAUCAACAAUCCUAAUUCUCCAGUCCCUUGCCCUCCAUGAUCCUCUUAAAAACCCUAGCCCAGAAUUCCUCAGGAAGAUGGAUUUGAGGGUCUCCUUCCAACUCCUCACUCAGCGCCCUGUGGUCAUUAAACUUUCUCUGCUGCA
rnacentral:lncRNA from 1 species